GACAGAGGGGGCAAGCGUUGUCCGGAAUUACUGGGCGUACAGCGCACGCAGGUGGCCAGGCAAGUGAGUGGUGAAAGCCCCGCGCUCAACGCGGGGAGGCCCAUUCAGACUGCCCGGCUUGAGGGAUGCAGAGGGUCGCGGAAUUGCCGGUGUAGUGGUGAAAUGCGUAGAGAUCGGCAGGAACACCAAGGCCGAAGGGAGCGACCUGGGCAUCACCUGACACUCAGGUGCGACAGCGUGGGGAG
rnacentral:rRNA from 1 species